GCCCUUGUAGCUUAAUGGUAAAGCGCUCGCACUCUAAAACCACAUGGACGCGAGUGAAUCGGGGUUCAAGUCCUCGUAAGGGCA